rnacentral:lncRNA from 1 species
CUUCUGCACUACUGUAAAACAAUAAAUUUAAAAUUAGCUCAAGACUGCAGAAAUUAUUUUAUUUGACAAACCUUUUCAACCCUCCUUCAGGGCCAUCAUAAGGUCUAAUGCAGAAAGGUGUCCCUAUUGGAAGCAGGAAAGCAGGCAAAUUAGCUGAAUUAGUGAUCAGGUUCAAGGAAGAAAAUGUAAUAUCAAGAUUCAUGACAAAAAUAAAAUUAUAUAGAAGAUAGAUGAUAUUUGUGUAAUAUGGGAAAAACAAGAAGAUUCAAAAGCUCUAGAAGAAUGUAUGUCAGACAAUUCACUAGGAUUUUCCAUCUAAAAUUGGAUCAAGCAAGCACUAGGAAGAUAAAUUUCUUAGACAUUCAAAUAGAAGUAAAAGAAGCCUUGUAUAAAACUAAAAUAUACUGCAAAUCAAUCUACGUACCAUUAUUUGUACCAAGCAUGUCAACAAUCAAAUUGACUCAAAGCAUCAGCCUUUACAGCCCUUUUUAGAAGAACCUUUGUAUAUUGCAAUACAAGAACAGAUAGACAAAAUAUUCUCAAAAGAAGAAAACACAGAUAGUAACAGUUUUUUGAAGAAAAAAACACUAUCUUUCAUAACAAAAAGCUUGAAUUCAAAGAACCUCACCAGAAGGAGUCAAGUAUAGAAGUGUCGACUAUCAACCACAUUUACAAACUGUUUAUAGAGAUAUAGAAAACAUUAUACAUUUUAAGCUAGAAAAAGAAAAGUACUGUAUUUUCGUUACUUAGAAAUGAUAAUGACACAUGGAGAAGAAAAAAAAGUUUAUUUAAGGUAUUAGACCUGAUGAUGCCCGAAGGAGGGUUGAAAAUAAUUUUUAUAGUCUUGAACUAAUUUUAAAUUUACUGUUUUACAUGUUACUGGAUUUGUGUAUUUUUGAUCUUAAGCAUUAUAUUACUUAUAUCUUUCCAUGCAAUGUUUUCUGUUUUUUGAAACAAGAUCCCAUAAUGUAUAACCAUACGUAAGCCGAAUAAGCACUAACUCCCCCUGGUGAAUAAAUUUGGAAUAAACUGUAC